rnacentral:rRNA from 1 species
CAGUCGAACGAAGCACCUUUUGAGAUUCUUCGGAUGAUCGAUCGGUGACUGAGUGGCGGACGGGUGAGUAACGCGUGGGUAACCUGCCCUGUACAGGGGGAUAACAGCUGGAAACGGCUGCUAAUACCGCAUAAGCGCACGAGGAGACAUCUCCUUGUGUGAAAAACUCCGGUGGUACAGGAUGGGCCCGCGUCUGAUUAGCUGGUUGGCAGGGUAACGGCCUACCAAGGCGACGAUCAGUAGCCGACCUGAGAGGGUGACCGGCCACAUUGGGACUGAGACACGGCCCAAACUCCUACGGGAGGCAGCAGUGGGGAAUAUUGCACAAUGGGGGAAACCCUGAUGCAGCGACGCCGCGUGAGCGAAGAAGUAUUUCGGUAUGUAAAGCUCUAUCAGCAGGGAAGAAAAUGACGGUACCUGACUAAGAAGCCCCGGCUAACUACGUGCCAGCAGCCGCGGUAAUACGUAGGGGGCAAGCGUUAUCCGGAUUUACUGGGUGUAAAGGGAGCGUAGACGGCGAGGCAAGUCUGAUGUGAAAACCCGGGGCUCAACCCCGUGACUGCAUUGGAAACUGUUUUGCUUGAGUGCCGGAGAGGUAAGCGGAAUUCCUAGUGUAGCGGUGAAAUGCGUAGAUAUUAGGAGGAACACCAGUGGCGAAGGCGGCUUACUGGACGGCAACUGACGUUGAGGCUCGAAAGCGUGGGGAGCAAACAGGAUUAGAUACCCUGGUAGUCCACGCCGUANACGAUGAAUACUAGGUGUCGGGGAGNAAA